GCCUGACGUCAUUUCCUGUUAUUCUUUUCUCUCCCUCCUCCCUCUGGCGUGGCUUUGCUCACGGUCUGUUUUUGGGGCGUGCCUGCUUCCUCUCUGUCAGGGCACCUGUUGAAUCCCGGCUGCUCCGCUUCUGAUCCGGCUCCCUACUAAUGCGCCUGGGAAAGCAGCGGAUGGCCCAAGUGCUUGGACCCCUGCACCCACGUGGGAGACCUGGAAGAAGCUCCUGGCUCCUGGCUGGCCCAGCCCUGGCUGCUGUGGCCAUCUGGGGAGUGAAACAACGGAUAGAAGAUUUCUCUGUCUCUCCCUCUAUCUCUGUAACUCUCAAAUAAAUAAAUCUUUAAGAAAAAAAGAA